AACGAACGCUGGCGGCAUGCCUAACACAUGCAAGUCGAACGAGACCUUCGGGUCUAGUGGCGCAUGGGUGCGUAACGCGUGGGAACCUGCCCUUAGGUUCGGUAUAACUCCCCGAAAGGGGUGCUAAUACCGGAUAAUGUCUUCGGACCAAAGAUUUAUCGCCUUUGGAUGGGCCCGCGUUGGAUUAGCUAGUUGGUAGGGUAAUAGCCUACCAAGGCGAUGAUCCAUAGCUGGUCUGAGAGGAUGAUCCGCCACACUGGGACUGAGACACGGCCCAGACUCCUACGGGAGGCAGCAGUAGGGAAUAUUGGACAAUGGGCGAAGGCCUGAUCCAGCAAUGCCGCGUGAGUGAUGAAGGCCUUAGGGUUGUAAAGCUCUUUUACCCGGGAUGAUAAUGACAGUACCGGGAGAAUAAGCUCCGGCUAACUCCGUG
rnacentral:rRNA from 1 species